rnacentral:lncRNA from 13 species
AAGCGACCAAUCAGAGCUAUUCCGUUCUUUUAACUUGCGUGAUAGAAAAAAAUGUGCGUUGCUGUGCGUCAUAGGCCCGGUUUUUCAUUAUCUGUUUAACUUGUGGUUAGAUUUAACCUGAUGUUUUAACCAAUGAGCUUUACCUAUGGCAUCAUCAUGGGUGAAGCACAUUGAAUAAAGCAUCAAGUUAAGUUUAACCAUAAGUUAACCGGAUAAUGAAAAACUGGGCCAUAGUGUUUCAUUGCGUCCUAAACCGUCGUAUUUUAAGGUUAGAUGUAAUUGUUAAAAACUAAUAAGUAUUAGUGUCGAGUAAAAUAUUAAUGAUUAAACAAUGGAUAUGACAGAGACGGAUAACAUUGAGACGAAUGAAGCAGAUUUUAAUGUCCAGUUAUGGAAGAAGUGGCUAACGAUGACGUUAGUGAAAAUGAUGAACCUUGCUCGUCUGUUACAAAGAAAAAAACUCGAAACAUGGAAGAUAAAACUUGGGCUGACUACGAUGAAUUAUUAAUAAAUGCUGUUACGAAAAGGCCUUGUCUAUAGAAUCAUACUAUCUCUGUGAAAAAGAGAAGUCCGUUAACUGUGAAAGAUGCAUGGGUUGAAGUUAAAAAGGAAUUGGAUGAUAAAUUUUAAAUAGAGAUACGCAAAAAGCACUGGAGAAACCUUUGUAACUCUUACAAAAAAGGCAAGAAUAAAAUAACCAAGUAUAUAUCCAGUGGUUCAGAAGCAGUAACAGAAAAAAGGAAAGAUGGAUUUCAGUAUUAUGACCAAAUGGAAUUUUUAAACCACUCGAUGAUUUCUAGGCCUAACGUUUCAGACGACACGCCACAUAUCCUUGAUCUUAACUCCAACUUCAACAAGUGUCCAGUGGAAAAUAAAGAGGAUGAGGAUGAAGACAUAUUGGAAAUAAACUCAAGUGUAUCUAAUUUCACAAGCUUCUCUGAGCACACUAAACUCUCAUGGAGGACUAGAGAGAGCAUUGCGGUGGUGGGGGUAUGAAUUUUGUAAUCGGAAGUGCGUCAUGGAAGACCGCCUAUAACGCGCU